rnacentral:rRNA from 1 species
AAACGAUUGAAGUCAGUCGUGUCUAUUGGUUUCAGCCGGUCCUGCCGGUGUAUUACCUUUAGACGGGUCAACAUCAGUUUUGGACGGCAGAUAAGAGCAGUUUGAAUGUAGCACCUCCGGGUGUGUUAUAGCUUUCUGUUGCAUGUGCUGUCCGAGACUGAGGACUGCAGCUCGCCUUUUACAGGCCGGGGUUCGCCCACGUUCGAGCUUAGGAUGUUGACAUAAUGGCUUUAAACGA